rnacentral:rRNA from 1 species
AGCAGCCGCGGUAAUUCCAGCUCCAAUAGCGUAUAUUAAAGUUGUUGCAGUUAAAAAGCUCGUAGUUGAAUUUCGAGACCGGUCUACUGGUCGUGCUUUUGUACGUACUGGUAUAAUCGGUUUCUCUCUUCUGACGAACUAUAAUGCCAUUAAUUUGGUGUUUUAGGGAAUCAGGACUGUUACUUUGAAAAAAUUAGAGUGUUUAAAGCAGGCUCACGCUUGAAUACAUUAGCAUGGAAUAACGAAAUAGGACGUUUGAUUCUAUUUUGUUGGUUUCUAGGAUCGACGUAAUGAUUAAUAGGGAUAGUUGGGGGCAUUAGUAUUCAAUUGUCAGAGGUGAAAUUCUUGGAUUUAUUGAAGACUAACUACUGCGAAAGCAUUUGCCAAGGAUGUUUUCAUUAAUCAAGAACGAAAGUUAGGGGAUCGAAGACGAUCAGAUACCGUCGUAGUCUUAACCAUAAAUUAUGCCGACUAGGGAUCGGAUGAUGUUAAAUUAAUGACUCAUUCGGCACCUUACG